AUUGAACGCUGGCGGAAUGCUUUACACAUGCAAGUCGAACGGCAGCACGGACUUCGGUCUGGUGGCGAGUGGCGAACGGGUGAGUAACAUAUCGGAACGUAUCCAAUAAUGGGGGAUAACGAGUCGAAAGAUUCGCUAAUACCGCAUACGCCCCACGGGGGAAAGCUGGGGACCUUCGGGCCUGGCGUUAAUGGAGCGGCCGAUAUCUGAUUAGCUAGUUGGUGAGGUAAAGGCUCACCAAGGCGCCGAUCAGUAGCUGGUCAGAGAGGACGACCAGCCACACUGGAACUGAGACACGGUCCAGACUCCUACGGGAGGCAGCAGUGGGGAAUUUUGGACAAUGGGCGCAAGCCUGAUCCAGCCAUUCCGCGUGAGUGAAGAAGGCCUUCGGGUUGUAAAGCUCUUUCGCAAGGGAAGAAAACUUAGCCACUAACAUUGGUUGAGGUUGACGGUACCUUGAUAAGAAGCACCGGCUAACUACGUGCCAGCCGCCGCCGUAA
rnacentral:rRNA from 1 species